UCUAAGUAUAACCUGCCAGACAGGGAAACUGCGUACGGCUCAUUACACCAGCCUUAAUUUACUUGACCUUGACAACCUACUUGGAUAACUGUGGUAAUUCUAGAGCUAAUACAUGCACCAAAGCUCCGAUCCUCGCGGAGAGGAGCGCAUUUGUUCGCCACAAAACCAAGCGCCCAUCUGGGCGUCCAGUGCUGAACCAGAACAACUCAGCUGAUCGCACGGUCUUGUACCGGCGACGUGUCUUUCAAGUGUCUGCCUUAUCAACUUUCGAUGGUAGUGUACCUGACUACCAUGGUUGUGACGGGUAACGGAGGAUAAGGGUUCGACUCCGGAGAAGGGGCCUGAGAAAUGGCCACUACGUCUAAGGAUGGCAGCAGGCGCGCAAAUUACCCACUCUCAACGCGAGGAGGUAGUGACGAGAAAUAACGAGACCGUUCUCAUACGAGGCCGGUUAUUGGAAUGGGUACAAUUUA
rnacentral:rRNA from 1 species